rnacentral:rRNA from 1 species
AUUGAACGCUGGCGGCAGGCCUAACACAUGCAAGUCGAGCGGUUGAAGGGAGCUUGCUCCUGGAUUCAGCGGCGGACGGGUGAGUAAUGCCUAGGAAUCUGCCUGUUAGUGGUGGAUAACGUCCGGAAACCGGCGCUAAUACCGCAUACGUCCUGAGGGAGAAAGUGGGGGAUCUUCGGACCUCACUCUAUCAGAUGAGCCUAGGUCGGAUUAGAUAGUUUGUGGGGUAAAGGCCUACCAAGGCGACGAUCCGUAAAUGGUCUGAGAGGAUGAUCAGUCACACUGGAACGGAGACACGGACAAGACUACUACGGGAGGGAGCAGAGGGGAAUGUUAGGCAGUGGUGGAGAGUAUGAUACAGCGAGGGCGAGUGUGAGAAGACGGUCUUCGGAUUGUAAAGAACUCUAAGUGGGUAGAAAGGGCAGUAAGUUAAUAACUUGCUAUUUUGACGGUACCAACAGAAUAAGCACCGGCUAACUACGUG